AGAACGUCUCCCAUUCUGAUCAAAAAAGAAAAUCUUUGCAAGAACCCUCCCCCAGGAGACUUUCUUUGAUUGGCCAGAACCAAUGAGAUGAGCUUACUCAAUAUCUGAACAAAAUUACGGUUCUUGAGCAUGAAAGAAGCAGGCACAGGGAAGACUAUCAGUUACGUAACCAGUAAUGCCUGCCUCACUGGCCAACAGACCAGAAAGUCGAUUCUUGAUAAAACCAAAGAAUAGUAGAAUUCAUUCUAUUUAAUGGGACGAUCACACAGAUAUCACAGAAAACACGCUCCCCUUAAGAGCUAACAGCCAGGUGCAGCGGCUCACCUCUGUAAUCCCAGCACGUUGGGAGGCCAAGGCAGGCUGAUCACUUGAGUCCGGGGAGUUUGAGACAAGCAUGGGCAACAUGGUGAAACCCCAUCUACACUAAAAAUACAAAAAUUAGCCAGGCAUGGUGGCCCAUGCCUGUAGUCCCAGCGACUGUGGGUGAAGUUGGGGGUGAGGCAUGCGGGAGCUGAGGCAGGAAGAUAGCUUCAGCCCAGGAG
rnacentral:lncRNA from 1 species